rnacentral:rRNA from 1 species
UACGAAGGGGGCUAGCGUUGCUCGGAAUCACUGGGCGUAAAGCGCACGUAGGCGGGUUGCCAAGUCGGGGGUGAAAUCCUGGAGCUCAACUUCAGAACUGCCUUCGAUACUGGGGACCUUGAGUUCGGGAGAGGUGAGUGGAACUGCGAGUGUAGAGGUGAAAUUCGUAGAUAUUCGCAAGAACACCAGUGGCGAAGGCGGCUCACUGGCCCGAUACUGACGCUGAGGUGCGAAAGCGUGGGGAGCAAACAGG